rnacentral:pre_miRNA from 14 species
CAUCUUCUUUAUUUUCACUUUUUAUUAUUAUUUCAUCUUUUACUUCUUCUUCUUCUUCAGCUGCAGAUUUUUCAUGAGAAGUUGAUCGAAGAAGAAACGAUGAUGACGAUGAUGAUGACAACGAGGAACCAUGUUUCAUAAAAGCUGUAGCCGUUGUUGUUGUCGGAGUCUUCCUGUUCGACGAUAAUUGUAAUAAUGGUACAAAAUAAUGAAAAGGAUGCGGUGAUAAC